rnacentral:rRNA from 1 species
UACAGGGGUCCCAAGCGUUGUUCGGAUUCACUGGGCGUAAAGGGUGCGUAGGUGGUUGUGCAAGUCUGAUGUGAAAUCUCCGGGCUCAACCCGGAAAUGGCAUUGGAAACUGCAUGGCUAGAGGGUUGGAGGGGGGACUGGAAUACUUGGUGUAGCAGUGAAAUGCGUAGAUAUCAAGUGGAACACCAGUGGCGAAGGCGAGUCCCUGGACAACACCUGACACUGAGGCACGAAAGCUAGGGGAGCAAACAGG